UACAGAGGUCUCAAGCGUUGUUCGGAUUCAUUGGGCGUAAAGGGCGCGUAGGCGGCGGUGCAAGUCAGGUGUGAAAUCCCGGGGCUCAACCCUGGAACUGCACUUGAUACUGCUUUGCUAGAGUACUGGAGAGGAGAUUGGAAUUUACGGUGUAGCAGUGAAAUGCGUAGAUAUCGUAAGGAAGACCAGUGGCGAAGGCGAAUCUCUGGACAGUUACUGACGCUGAGGCACGAAGGCCAGGGGAGCAAACGGG
rnacentral:rRNA from 1 species